rnacentral:lncRNA from 1 species
AUGCCGGUAGAAAUUACCGUUUUUAUGGGUUUCCCUGUUGCCGUUUCCGAUCUAGAUGACAUCAUAAAACGCCACAAGAAAGAGCAGAGCGAUGCCCAGGCGGCAGGGAACAGGCGGCAGCAGCAGGUGAAGAACAGGAAUUCGGCGUACGGCUACGGGCGGCCCCGCUUCCGCACCUGGAUGCAGAGGAAUUUGCAAGGACCUAACCGCUUCAGAAGAGGCUUUGGGCAACAACAGUACAAUAGAAGGCAAUUCAGGAAUACUGUGCCCGGUCCCAGGAGAAGAGCAGCUGCCGCAUUAAAUGGAGUGAGCCCUCUAAAUCGCCAGGCGUCCGCUCAAGAGGGUCACAAGAGCGACGACGCUUUCGCCAAAAGCGGUAGCAGCGGGCAGCAGCCGGAGGCGCGGAGGCGGCCGCCGCUGGGCCCCAAGGGAUUCGGAGCAGCAGCUGCCGGCACCCACGCCGCGGGGAGAAGCAGGCCUUUCGUGCUGAACAGGGGACCAGGCUUCCAGCAGAAACGGAUGCAGCAGCGCUACUCCAAGGCCAACUUCCAGAGAGGGCAAAUGAAUGCAGUUGGAGACGGGAAACGACCGAGGAUGAGAAGGUGGCAAGUGAAACCCAGCCCCGGAGCAGUCCUGACGGUUUCUGUGGCUAAUCCCCAGGCGAGCCAGAGCAGCGCGGCCGGAGGCAAGCGGCCGUUCCUGCGGAGCCCGAGGCCCCCGCCGCGGGCGGCCAAGCCCCAGCCGAAGGGAGUGCUGCUGCGGUUCAACUUCCGCGCCAUGGCCAACCAGACCAGCCUGACGCUGGAUGAGAGGUUCUCUGGUCUGAGGAAUAAGCGGCGCUUUACAGCGGCGAGGAACGCUGGCCGGACGGUCACCAUGCCUUAG